GUUACUAACGACGAUAUGCUUUGGGGAGCUGUAAGUAAGCUUUGAUCCAGAGAUUUCCGAAUGGGGAAACCCAGCAUGAGUUAUGUCAUGUUAUCGAUAUGUGAAUACAUAGCAUAUCAGAAGGCACACCCGGAGAACUGAAACAUCUUAGUACCCGGAGGAAGAGAAAGAAAAUUCGAUUCCCUUAGUAGCGGCGAGCGAAACGGGAAGAGCCCAAACCAACAAGCUUGCUUGUUGGGGUUGUAGGACACUCUAUACGGAGUUACAAAGGACGACAUUAGACGAAUCAUCUGGAAAGAUGAAUCAAAGAAGGUAAUAAUCCUGUAGUCGAAAAUGUUGUCUCUCUUGAGUGGAUCCUGAGUACGACGGAG
rnacentral:rRNA from 1 species